rnacentral:rRNA from 1 species
AUACCAGCUCUUCGAGUGGUGUGGAUGUUUAUUGGGCCUAAAGCAUCCGUAGCUGGCUAGGUCAGUCCCUUGUUAAAUCCACCGAAUUAAUCGUUGGAUCGCGGGGGAUACUGCUUGGCUAGGGGACGAGAGAGGCAGACGGUAUUUUCGGGGUAGGGGUGAAAUCCUAUAAUCCCGGGAAGACCACCAGUGGCGAAGGCUGUCUGCUAGAACGCGCCCGACGGUGAGGGAUGAAAGCUGGGGGAGCGAACCGGAUUAGAUACCCGGGUAGUCCCAGCUGUAAACGAUGCAGACUAGGUGUUUGGACGGCCACGUGCCGUUCUAGUGCCGCAGGGAAGCUGUUAAGUCUGCCGCCUGGGGAGUACGAUCGCAAGAUUGAA